rnacentral:rRNA from 3 species
AUGUUGUGAAACUGUGGUUUCCAUGAAAUUAACGUAAUCCCUGGCUUUAUUUUUUUUAUUUACGAUAAAGCAUUCAGUCCUGGAAAUUUGGAAAGAAAAAGGGGACAAAGACAAGUCAUCAUGGCCUUGAUAUUGUGGGCUAUAGACGUGCCACAUAUACCUAAACAAAGAGAUGCGAAAAUGUGAAUUUAA